UACGUAGGGACCGAGCGUUGUCCGGAAUCACUGGGCGUAAAGCGCACGUAGGCGGACUCUUAAGUCGGUGGUGAAAUCCUGGAGCUCAACUCCAGAACUGCCUUCGAUACUGAGAGUCUUGAGUCCGGGAGAGGUGAGUGGAACUGCGAGUGUAGAGGUGAAAUUCGUAGAUAUUCGCAAGAACACCAGUGGCGAAGGCGGCUCACUGGCCCGGUACUGACGCUGAGGUGCGAAAGCGUGGGGAGCAAACAGGG
rnacentral:rRNA from 1 species